UACAGAGGGUGCGAGCGUUAAUCGGAAUUACUGGGCGUAAAGCGUGCGUAGACGGUUAUGUAAGUCGGAUGUGAAAGCCCCGGGCUCAACCUGGGAACUGCAUUCGAGACUGCAUAGCUAGGAUGCGGAAGAGGGAAGUGGAAUUUCCGGUGUAGCGGUGAAAUGCGUAGAUAUCGGAAGGGACAUCAGUGGCGAAAGCGACUUCCUGGUCCAGCAUCGACGUUCAGGCACGAAAGCGUGGGGAGCAGACAGG
rnacentral:rRNA from 1 species